AUUGAACGCUGGCGGCAGGCCUAACACAUGCAAGUCGAACGAGUGGCGGACGGGUGAGUAAUGUCUGGGAAACUGCCCGAUGGAGGGGGAUAACUACUGGAAACGGUAGCUAAUACGGCAUACCAUCGGAUGUGCCCAGAUGGGAUUAGAUUGUAGGUGAGGUAACGGCUCACCUAGGCGACGAUCCCUAGCUGGUCUGAGAGGAUGACCAGGCAAACUGAAAAAGAGACACGGUCCAGACUCAGACGGGAGGGAGCAGUGGGGAAUAGUGCAAAAUGGGCGCAAGCCUGAAGCAGCCAUGCCGCGUGUAUGAAGAAGGCCUGCGGGUUGUAAAGUACUUGCAGCGGGGAGGCGUUACCCGCAGAAGAAGCACCGGCUAACUCCGUGCAAGCAGCCGCGGUAAUU
rnacentral:rRNA from 1 species